UACGUAGGGGGCUAGCGUUGUCCGGAAUCAUUGGGCGUAAAGAGCGUGUAGGCGGCUCGGUAAGUCCGCUGUGAAAGUCGGGGGCUCAACCCUCGAAUGCCGGUGGAUACUGUCGGGCUAGAGUGCGGAAGAGGCGAGUGGAAUUCCUGGUGUAGCGGUGAAAUGCGCAGAUAUCAGGAGGAACACCGAUUGCGAAGGCAGCUCGCUGGGACGUUACUGACGCUGAGACGCGAAAGCGUGGGGAGCAAACAGG
rnacentral:rRNA from 1 species